rnacentral:rRNA from 1 species
UCAGAUUGAACGCUGGCGGCAUGCUUUACACAUGCAAGUCGAACGGCAGCGGGGAGGAGCUUGCUUCUCUGCCGGCGAGUGGCGAACGGGUGAGUAAUACAUCGGAACGUGUCGAGAAGAGGGGGAUAACCACCCGAAAGGGUGGCUAAUACCGCAUAAAUUCUGAGGAAGAAAGCUGGGGACCUAGGAAUAGGCCUAGCGCUUUUUGAGCGGCCGAUGUCGGAUUAGCUAGUUGGUGAGGUAAAGGCUCACCAAGGCGAAGAUCUGUAGCGGGUCUGAGAGGAUGAUCCGCCACACUGGGACUGAGACACGGCCCAGACUCCUACGGGAGGCAGCAGUGGGGAAUUUUGGACAAUGGGGGCAACCCUGAUCCAGCCAUGCCGCGUGUAUGAAGAAGGCCUUAGGGUUGUAAAGUACUUUUGUUAGGGAAGAAAAGUCAGCUGUGAAUAAUGGCUGAUACUGACGGUACCUAAAGAAUAAGCACCGGCUAACUACGUGCCAGCAGCCGCGGUAAUACGUAGGGUGCGAGCGUUAAUCGGAAUUAUUGGGCGUAAAGCGAGUGUAGACGGUUAUUUAAGCCAGAUGUGAACUACCCGAGCCUAACUUGGGAGGUGCAUAUGGAACUGGGUAGCUAGAGUGUGUCAGAGGGAGGUAGAACUCCACGUGUAGCAGUGAAAUGCGUAGAGAUGUGGAAGAAUACCGAUGGCGAAGGCAGCCUCCUGGGAUAACACUGACGUUGAGGCUCGAAAGCGUGGGGAGCAAACAGGAUUAGAUACC